rnacentral:rRNA from 1 species
AGCAGCCGCGGUAAUUCCAGCUCCAAUAGCGUAUAUUAAAGUUGUUGCAGUUAAAAAGCUCGUAGUUGAAUUUCGGAAUCUGUCCAUUGGUCGGGCUUCACUGUCCGUACUGGUGUGGUGGGUUCUUACCUUCUGAAUAACCAGCAUGCCAUUUAUUUGGUGCGUUGGGGAAGCAGGACUAUUAUCUUGAAAAAAUUAGAGUGCUCAAAGCAGGCUAGUGCCUGAAUACAUUAGCAUGGAAUAAUAAAAUAGGACGGCAUGGUUCUAUUUUGUUGGUUUCUAGGAUCACCGUAAUGAUUAAUAGGGAUAGUUGGGGGCAUUAGUAUUCAAUUGUCAGAGGUGAAAUUCUUGGAUUUAUUGAAGACUAACUUCUGCGAGAGCAUUUGCCAAGGAUGUUUUCAUUAAUCAAGAACGAAAGUUAGGGGAUCGAAGACGAUCAGAUACCGUCGUAGUCUUAACCAUAAACUAUGCCGACUAGGGAUCGGAUGAUGUUAUUUUUAAUGACUCA